ACAGUCACUGACAUUAGAUACCCGCGUAGUCCAGGGUGUAAACGCUGCAGACUUGGUGUUGGGAACCCUUCGGGGGUGCUCAGUGCCGGAGAGAAGUUGUUAAGUCUGCUACUUGGGAGUACGUCCGCAAGGAUGAAACUUAAAGGAAUUGGCGGGGGAGCACCGCAACGGGAGGAGCGUGCGGUUUAAUUGGAUUCAACGCCGAAAAACUCACCAGCAGCGACUGCUACAUGAAAGUCAGGUUGAUGACCUUACUAGAUUUUCAG
rnacentral:rRNA from 1 species